rnacentral:ncRNA from 1 species
GCGAGCCGUAUGAAUUGAAAGGUUCACGUACGGUUCUGAGGGCAGCUUGAUAAUCCUUAAGGAGGUUACCAAAGUGAACCGUGAGACAUCUUAGAGGGUGCUAGGGCCACCAAAGUGGCUCUCGCACCAGCUCAGGUGGCACAAAGGCCAUCUUAGUAACCUAAAAACCAAGGCCAUAAAUUUCAUGGCCUUGGAACCCCUUGGCACUGCUUCAUGCGCCUUAGCGCGUGAAGGACAUCCUUCUGACCCUAC